GAAUCUUUAAGACCGGGAGGAUAAUGAAUUUUGCAUGCUAUAUUUGUUAACAUAAUCAUGAAUGUUAGUGAAAUAAAAGUUUUUUAUGCAUAUUCUUAUGAUCUGAAACUUAUACUACCUAUAGGCUUGUGUAGUUUUACAAUUGGCAAAAUUUUAUAGCUUGCUGCCCUGAUGCCCCUGGCUGUAACGUUUGACUUGUUGCAGGGAGCAACCUACAUCUUCACUGAACAAUUCUUGUAAUAUUAUACUUUUAAGAUCAUGCAUGCUUCAAGAGCUACUUCUGAAGAUGUUUUAUUUGUAUGAUUUUGUACCUGCCUGCUAGCUCUACAUUGAGGGACAGCACAUGGUCAUGUAUUACAUAUUUACAUAUUCAGUGGGGCUUUUAUUCUCCUGAAAAUUCAUAAAUUGAGUGAUUAAUAUAUAGAAAAAUGUUUAGGAGUUCUACCAAAUGCUAGUGAAUUGAUGGAUGACAAGUCAACACAUGGUUUGGGUGCCAAAUAGUGUGAGUUGCAGUAGAGGAUUCGCAAAUAAUUGAGUUGAAAUGUGGAAAAAAAUGCAUUCUUGAAACUAGUGAGUUCACAUUGAAUGAUAACUAGACUUUUGUUACAGGAAGAAUGCUUUAAACAAAAUCUGUCACUACAUGGGCAGUGUUUGAUGAUAUGUGAUGUAUAUAUAUAUGUAUACAUGUGUUUGUGUGUAUAUAUAUUUAUGUAUGCAUGUCUUUAACUAUGGUGGUUAAACUGUGCCUCUCAGCUCUCCACCUAUCUUUGCAUACUGAUAUUGCUUGCAUGAAAUAGUUACUUCAUGGAGAAAUGUUUGGAUUGGCCUCCAUUUUCAAAUUUGAACAAUUGUUAAGCGUAAUGGAUUUCUUCGUUUGUGCUUUGCAUGCUUUUGUUUGAGACCGUCUAUAAAAUACUAAAUAUGAACUUUGACUACCAUGACAUGAACUUUAUUGAGUCUUCUGAAGCUCAACAGCUGUAUUUUUAAUGUGUCCUAGUGUCAUUAUGUCGGCUGUCCAUCUUGAUCAUAUUGUUUAAGUUGGUUGUCUGCACUGCUUGUUAGCUAUAGCUCUCCAAUAGUUCAUCUUCCUAGAUGGCAUGCAAUUUUAGUUUACUAUAUUUAUUGUUAUGUCAAACUUGAUUUUGGUGAAAUGCAUUCAUGUGGCUUUCAUCAUGCUAUCCUUGUUUCUUAUGUUAACCUGUGUUGAUCAUUGGUUGACGAUUUUAUUGUGUUGGAAUGACACUGCAGUGUCUAAAUAAAGCAAUUAUGUCAAGAGUUGCAAUUGACAGAAAGCUUCUUUGAAAAUCACAGAAGUUUAGUAUCUUAUCUUCAUUCUUCCGGAUUUAGCAUAUUGGUUUCAAUGGAGGUACUGGUCACCUCGUAUGCAUAAUAAAUCAAACCUUGGUAUCACAUCCAUGCAUAUCUAAAUUGUGCUUUGUUUCAUUCUAUGAGAAAUUGUUUUUACUAGAUUUGUUAAUUAAUUUUUAUUCUUCUAUGAUCUGAGUUCUUUUUUCUUACUGAUAAUAUUCUUUAUUGUGUUUCUAUACUAGAUGAUUUGUACUAUCUCAGUAGAUUAUUUCUUGUUUGGAAUGUGGUGGUUCUUGCUUAAAACAUUGUUUUUUACAUCUGAGAUGGUCUAACAAUCUCAAGCUUUGGGAAAAUUAUUAGAUGAUGUUAACAUAAGCUUUUGAUAGUAAUGCAUUGUGAGUUCUAAAGCUUUGUGGUCAGAGUUUUAAGAUAGCACAUUUUUCCCAAAUAUAAGGUCUAUGUUUUAUAGACAAAUGAUUUAACCUUGCUAGGUUGGAAAAGAUACUCUGCUAUACUUUUCUUGAAUAUUAUGCUAUACUGAAAAAUAUAUAAAUCAUCCUGAGGACUUUGAUAUAAAGAAAAUUUGGAUGGACGUAAAAUAGUGAUGAGUAAGCCGGGUAGCCGCAACCUCAGCCUUCCAAUUUUUGAAGACUGAUAUUUCUCUUCUGAAUUAGCUCAGGCUGCUAUCAGUGCCACACAAUCAUUCUUUGUUCAGAACAUGAUGGUCCACAUUCAAUUUAACUUGAAGCUCUUGUGUUUCAAGUAGUUUCCAUUUAUUAUUUUAUCUUGUAUUAUCUAUUCUAUAGCAAAUUGACUAUUUACUGAUGAAAUUUUGUUGUACAAAGGUUAUCUUUGGAUUCGUAUGAAUCCACUAUGAGUUGGAUUAAAUUAUUAAUCAUAUCAUUUUAAAAACAGAUUUAUGAAAAAUAAGUUGAAAUUAGCAUGCAUACAAAAUAAUUCAGUUCAUAUUAGAAUGUUAUAUGUACAAGUUCGGAUCGGUAUAUACCGCCUGUACCGAGUGGUACAUAUUGAAAUUGAAAACCCUGGUAAUAAGUAUAAAUAUAAGUUGUUUAUGAAAAUAGAAAAUUUAAGUGACCCCUACUCUUCUGAUGGAUUUGAUAUUCAAUCUGAGCUGUUUGAAUGGAUUCAGAUAAAUGACUAACUUUUAUUAGUUGUUUAGGUCUCCUAAACUAACUCUCAAUCUGUAAGAUUAAUCUCUGGAACUCAACUAAAAUUUCAAAUAAAAUAGAAAAACUAGACAUGUACAACUUAUACCUUUAUUGGACACAAUAAAAAAACAUGCCUGAUCCUAAACUAAACUCAAGACUGUAUAAAGUGUUUCAUUGUGAGUUAGAAGGUGCAUUUUGGGCUGAAACAAAUUUGGGAGAUUCUUUAUUAGAUUCUGUCUUGCAGACAUUUUAUGAAGCCCUUAAUUCUUACACAUGGUGUAGCUUUUAAAUCGUGAAGUCUACUGCCUAAGUAAAUCAUCAUUCAAUUGGAUAUAUCGGGAGAAAUCUCAACAGUCAAUCCAUUUACCUAUUUUUGGUCUGGUAAUAGGACAUUCUAAAUACUUUAUGAUGUAAUUUAAUUUUUAAGCAUAGGACAUCAUGAAAUCGACUUGAGGACAGGUCUUGGUAUGAACUCAAAUUUUUGGCCUUUGCUUAAUAUUUGUAAUAUGGUUUGAAUACAUCUGUGCUGGAAGCUUUUUCUUGUUUCCAUCUGUAAGCUGCACCUGUUGGUUCCUGAUCUAUAAACCAUUAGUAACUAAUAAUAACAUAUCUUUUAAUGUAGUUCGAAUUAUUUUUAAUAUAACUUAGUGGUAGGAUCAUGAAAAAGAUAGAAACUGGGUCUUGAGGGUAAUCUGUGGUUUCAUUUUUAGGCUUUCGAGUAAAGGUAGGCUUCAAUCAUUUGGAAAGAGACUUCAUCAUACUCUUGUGCAAAAAAAAUUAGAGGGAUAAAUUUUUAUUGACCCUUAUGCGAGGAUAACACAAGGGGGAGACUGUUUGGAUUGGACAUGUCCGGAUGAGACUCAUGGACACAUUGUCUUGACUAGGUGAAUCAAUUAGGAUAUCUAUCACAAUAGCUAGAUGAAUGCCUAAUGGAGGCCAUGGUCCUUUGUGAAGUCUCACUGAGUUUGCUUUGUGAUGUAACCUCUAUGUUCUUAUCGUUUAAAGAAGUCGUGUAACAUGUUACAUUUUCACCAAACUUUAUACAAUUACAAGUCUGUUGCAGUAGGACAGUCAAUAUCUUUAUACAAUCCGACUCUUGAUUGGAAUUGUAAUUGAUGCAAACAUUAUUAAUAUGCACCUGUUCUUUCUAAAUGCUGAGACUUAACCAUCUAUAGAGUUAUGUGCCUGUUAUAUCAGCAACUAUAUUAAAUACCUUUGGCCUUGAGUCUUGCUUUGCUUGAAUUUUGCCAUUUAUCUCAUCAAUAACAUAUUGCACAACGAAUUACCCUCUUCAUUCUUAAACCAACUUGUCUAUCAUCCAUCUCAUAUAUAAAUUAGAUGCAAUAAGUAAUUUUACUCAGUAUUUGACAUUAUUAUCUUGUUUAGUGCCUCUCCUUUAUUCAAGUCGUGCUUUCCUGCGGAUAUGAAGCUGCUUUUUUAUGCAUGAUUUAUUAGUUAGGGCAGUUCAUUGGUUGCCUUCAGAGUGGAUCGAGGGUGAUGGACGGUCAACUCAUUUUUAUAAUCGAAGCAUGGCCUCUCAUUUUGACUCCAAUUUUUACUUUGGCAAUUGAACCUGAGUCAUUUGUCUAAGCAGUGUCUUGCCUGAGGCAAGACUCACCCUUGAUCAGGCUCAGUCUCGACUCUCUGCUGUCUCAAGUCACCCCUUCGGUGCUCCAAUAGGAGGUGUUCGUGUCGCCCACCUCCUCAGCCCUCCAUUUGUGCCAACUCAGGUCGUGCGUGCCUCAAGUCAGUUCCAACGGCUUUUAUCUGCAUCAAUCAACUCCCUCUUACAUAUCCCCAAGCUCGUCUCCGGUUGCCACCCCGCCCCGCAUCUCAGCGAUGGCUUCGUCGUCUUCCCUUCUCGCUUCACCGACGGCUGCCCGACAGGUCCCCGCUGCCGCCACAGUUUCCUUCCCUCUCCCUCCGAAGUCCAGUCUAAUCUCUGCCAAGAUGGAAAAAUAUGAUUUCGUUCGCAGCACCCAAAUUCUCAAAUGUUGCAUAUAUUUGAUCUAUGGAGCCGAGCGAUUUUGGAUUCGAUUGGAUAUUCUUUUCCUAAUUUUGGAGCCUAUGCUGGGAAUCGUUCUUUUCUUGGCGGUGGAGAAGUGUUUUCUCUCUCCUCCGUCUCAUGGAGGAGAGAUUAGGUUUUUGCAGAGAUCGUCGUGUUAUUACCAAAGGCCCAAUCGAAGGAGGCACAGUCUCGGACUAAUCCUUUCCCUCAUGCCAAAGGUUGUUGGAGGAUCCGCUAAUGACGCUGCAUCUUUUGAGGCCAAGGCGAAACAACCAGCAUCCCGAGAGAGGGAUACGGAGGCAGGAAAGAUGUCGCCGCCAUGAUAUCCGCCAUCAGAGGAGGCAGGCAGUAACCGAGUUGAUGACUCGAGUUGCUGCAAGCCUCGUAAAGCUUGUUGAUUCCAAAGACAUUGCCGGAGGCUUUGCCUCGGCCUCCGGCACCGAAUAUGGUUGUUAUGAUGCAUGUCUCCACGAGCUGCACCUGUCCUUGCAUCACCUGCUGCUGCUGCUGCUGCUGCUUCAUCAACAGCACCUACGACGCCUGCAUCUGCCCUAAAGACCUCCAAGUCAUCACAUCCUUCUCUCAAGAGUCCUAUGGCUUGCCCCCCUUUUGUUAACUUUCAUGGUAUGUAUGUACAUGCAUCGAAUAUUCAAUUCAUCCUAACAUGCAAAAAAAAAUCAACUAUUUUAAAUCCAA